GGCGAACGCUGGCGGCGUGCUUAACACAUGCAAGUCGAACGGAAAGGCCCUGCUUUUGUGGGGUGCUCGAGUGGCGAACGGGUGAGUAACACGUGAGUAACCUGCCCUUGACUUUGGGAUAACUUCAGGAAACUGGGGCUAAUACCGGGUAGGAGCUCCUGCUGCAUGGUGGGGGUUGGAAAGUUUCGGCGGUUGGGGAUGGACUCGCGGCUUAUCAGCUUGUUGGUGGGGUAGUGGCUUACCAAGGCUUUGACGGGUAGCCGGCCUGAGAGGGUGAGCGGCCACAUUGGGACUGAGAUACGGCCCAGACUCCUACGGGAGGCAGCAGUGGGGAAUAUUGCACAAUGGGCGGAAGCCUGAUGCAGCAACGCCGCGUGCGGGAUGACGGCAUUCGGGUUGUAAACCGCUUUCGCAUGUGACGAAGCGUGAGUGACGGUAAUGGGUAAAGAAGCACCGGCUAACUACGUG
rnacentral:rRNA from 1 species